rnacentral:rRNA from 1 species
UACGUAGGGUGCAAGCGUUGUCCGGAAUUAUUGGGGCGUAAAGAGCUCGUAGGCGGUCUGUCACGUCGGCUGUGAAAACCCGAGGCUCAACCUCGGGUCUGCAGUCGAUACGAGCAAAACUAGAGUGUUGCAGGGGAGACUGGAAUUCCUGGUGUAGCGGUGGAAUGCGCAGAUAUCAGGAGGAACACCGGUGGCGAAGGCGGGAUCCUGGGCCAGUACUGACGCUGAGGAGCGAAAGCGUGGGGGAGCAAACAGG